GACAGAGGGUGCAAACGUUGUUCGGAAUUACUGGGCGUAAAGCGCGUGUAGGCGGCUAAGUAAGUCGGGCGUGAAAUCCCACGGCUCAACCGUGGAAGUGCACUCGAAACUGCAUAGCUAGAGUCCUGGAGAGGAAGGUGGAAUGCUUGGUGUAGAGGUGAAAUUCGUAGAUAUCAAGCGGAACACCGGUGGCGAAGGCGGCCUUCUGGACAGUGACUGACGCUGAGGAGCGAAAGCAUGGGGAGCGAACAGG
rnacentral:rRNA from 1 species